rnacentral:rRNA from 1 species
CGUUCCCGGGCCUUGUACACACCGCCCGUCACACCACGAAAGUUGGCAAUACCCGAAGCCGGUGGGCUAACCCUUUUGGGAGGCAGCCGUCGAAGGUAGGGUCGAUGAUUGGGGUG